GUGCUUUCUUCAGCAGUACAUAUACUAAAAUUGGAAUAACACAGAAAGAUUACAUUGCCCCUGUGCAAGCACGAUUAGUGAAAUUUAAGCAUUGAAU
rnacentral:snRNA from 1 species